AAGGAAAGCGCCGCCGCCGUGCCCUGUUAGAACUUCUGGAGCCGCGUUGGAGCUCGCUACAAAAAGAGGAUGAGGCUAGGACUAGCGCCAUUGUGCCUGAGCUAUUGCUGUCGAUUUGGAGUUGCUGCGCAAUGGGGCCACUAGGAGAGUAUUGCUGCUGCUGAACCAUGGGCUCUGCGGCCGAGACUCUGCCGCCGAAGAACACUCUUCCAGUAAGGGUUUUUAUUUGAGGUUUCUGUCCUUUUGAAUUCCGAGAAUACCGUAGUCACUGCGUGUUGGUUUCAAUUGGCGCGAUCGGAAAUUGUCGUCGCUGCCGCUUGAGGUGGCUGCCUGGCUACCGUUGAACCGGUUCAGAGACCGCCACUAUUCCGGUUCAGCUGUUCCUUCUUCAUUCGUGUUGCUGUGGUUACCGCGGGAGUGGCUUGGAGCCAAGGUUGCGUUGUUGGUGAUCUCGGUUUAAGAGAGGAGGUUCCUGUGAUGUGUUUGGGUUAUGGAAUUGCGUUUUGAGGUAUUUUCUGGCUGAAAUUGAGGGAGCUGAGCAAAAAUCUGAU